rnacentral:rRNA from 1 species
GACAGAGGGUGCAAACGUUGCUCGGAAUCACUGGGCGUAAAGGGCGUGUAGGCGGGGAGGAAAGUCAGAUGUGAAGUCCCUGGGCUCAACCCAGGAACUGCAUUUGAAACUCCCUUUCUUGAGUGUCGGAGAGGAAAGCGGAAUUCCUGGUGUAGAGGUGAAAUUCGUAGAUAUCAGGAGGAACACCGGUGGCGAAGGCGGCUUUCUGGACGACAACUGACGCUGAGACGCGAAAGCGUGGGGAGCAAACAGG